rnacentral:rRNA from 1 species
AUUGAACGCUGGCGGCAUGCCUUACACAUGCAAGUCGAACGGUAACGCGGGGCAACCUGGCGACGAGCGGCGAACGGGUGAGUAAUGCAUCGGAACGUGCCCGGUCGUGGGGGAUAACUGCUCGAAAGAGCAGCUAAUACCGCAUACGAGCUGAGGGAGAAGGGGGGGAUAGCAAGAACUCUCGCUAUCGGAGCGGCCGAGGUCGGAUUAGCUAGUUGGUGGGGUAAAGGCCUACAAAGGCGACGAUCCGUAGCUGGUCUGAGAGGACGACCAGCCACACUGGGACUGAGACACGGCCCAGACUCCUACGGGAGGCAGCAGUGGGGAAUUUUGGACAAUGGACGCAAGUCUGAUCCAGCCAUGCCGCGUGCGGGAAGAAGGCCUUCGGGUUGUAAACCGCUUUUGUCAGGGAAGAAAUCUUCUGAGUUAAUACCUCGGGAGGAUGACGGUACCUGAAGAAUAAGCACCGGCUAACUACGUGCCAGCAGCCGCCGUAAUAC